rnacentral:rRNA from 1 species
GCUUAUGGCCAUACCACCCUGAGAACGCCCGAUCUCGUCUGAUCUCGGAAGCUAAGCAGUGUCGGGUCUGGUUAGUACUUGGAUGGGAGACCGCCUGGGAAUACCAGGUGCUGUAAGCU